AUUGAACGCUGGCGGCAUGCCUUACACAUGCAAGUCGAACGGCAGCGGGCCCUUCGGGGUGCCGGCGAGUGGCGAACGGGUGAGUAAUGCAUCGGAACGUACCCGGGAGAGGGGGAUAACCGGCCGAAAGGCUGGCUAAUACCGCAUGAACUCGGAAGAGCAAAGCGGGGGACCUUCGGGCCCCGCGCUCUCGGAGCGGCCGAUGUCCGAUUAGGCUAGUUGGUGGGGUAAAGGCCCACCAAGGCGACGAUCGGUAGCGGGUCUGAGAGGACGAUCCGCCACACUGGGACUGAGACACGGCCCAGACUCCUACGGGAGGCAGCAGUGGGGAAUCUUGGACAAUGGGCGCAAGCCUGAUCCAGCAAUGCCGCGUGGGUGAAGAAGGCCUUCGGGUUGUAAAGCCCUUUCGGCGGGGAAGAAAUCGGUCAGGCGAAUAGUCUGGCCGGAUGACGGUACCCGCAGAAGAAGCACCGGCUAACUACGUG
rnacentral:rRNA from 1 species